rnacentral:rRNA from 1 species
AUUGAACGCUGGCGGCAGGCUUAACACAUGCAAGUCGAACGAGUGGCGGACGGGUGAGUAAUGCUUGGGAAUCUGGCUUAUGGAGGGGGAUAACUACGGGAAACUGUAGCUAAUACCGCGUACCAUCGGAUGUGCCCACGUGGGAUUAGGUAGUAGGUGUGGUAAAGGCUCACCAAGCCGACGAUCCCUAGCUGGUCUGAGAGGAGGACCAGCCAAACCGGAAGUGAGACCCGGCCCAGACUCAUACGGGAGGCAGCAGUGGGGAAGAGUGCUCAAUGGGGGCAACCUGACGCAGCCAUGCCGCGUGAAUGAAGAAGGCCUUCGGGGUGUAAAGUACUUUCGGUAGCGAGGCGUUAACCACAGAAGAAGCACCGGCUAACUCCGUGCCAGCAGCCGCGGUAAUAC